GAUGAACGCUGGCGGCGUGCUUAACACAUGCAAGUCGAACGGUGAAAGAGAGCUUGCUCUCUGGAUCAGUGGCGAACGGGUGAGUAACACGUGAGCAAUCUGCCCCUGACUCUGGGAUAAGCGCUGGAAACGGCGUCUAAUACCGGAUACGAGCUGCGAAGGCAUCUUCAGCAGCUGGAAAGAACUUCGGUCAGGGAUGAGCUCGCGGCCUAUCAGCUAGUUGGUGAGGUAACGGCUCACCAAGGCGUCGACGGGUAGCCGGCCUGAGAGGGUGACCGGCCACACUGGGACUGAGACACGGCCCAGACUCCUACGGGAGGCAGCUGUGGGGAAUAUUGCACAAUGGGCGAAAGCCUGAUGCAGCAACGCCGCGUGAGGGACGACGGCCUUCGGGUUGUAAACCUCUUUUAGCAGGGAAGAAGCGAAAGUGACGGUACCUGCAGAAAAAGCACCGGCUAACUACGUG
rnacentral:rRNA from 1 species